AACAGUUAACUCUUUCAUCACCUGGAAUUUAUUUGGAUGUGUGGUGUGAGAGAAGGUAUAAUUUUUUUCCCCCAAAUAGUUAGCCAAUUGUCUCUAUACCAUUUAUCAAAUAAUGCCACCUCUUCUGAGAGGGUUGUGAUGCCUCCUUCAGCAGAUGCUGGAUUCCUGCACACUAACUUCUGCUUGUUUUCUCCUGCCUUCAGACUCAGACUAGGGCUGGAACUUACACCAUCAGCUCUCCUGGUUCUCAGGCCUUUGGACUGGAACUAUCACAUUGUCUUUCCUGGGUCUCCAGCUUGCUAACUGCAGAUCAUGAACUUCUCAGCCUCCAUAAUGAUAGUGUUGCAGAAGUGACAUCGUGCAAUUUCUGAGGCUGAGACUUGGAAGAUAUACAGCAUCUGCUUUUGACUCUUAGACUACACCCUCUUGGAAGCCAGCCACCAUGAAGUCCAACUAUCCUAAGACCACUAUGCUGUGAGGAAGCCUAAGCUAGCCGCUUGGAGAGAGAGAGGCCAUGUGGAGGAGUACCAAGGUGCCAGACACGCAUGAAACCUUGGACCUUCCAGCACAGCCAAUGGCUGAAUGUUGCCAAAGGAAUGACCCCGAGUGAAGGUGUGUGGAGCAGAACUACCCAGCUGAUCCCUGCCCAUUUCUUAACCCACCAGGGGCCAAGGAUUCCAGACUGGUCAUCUCAAACUCCAUCCCUGGCUGGGAUCAUCUCCCUAACAUGCGUGUCACCCUCUCUCUUGCUUAAAUCCUCAUGACAGCUCCCCAUCAGCUGCAGGAUAAAGACCCAAGUUUAGCCAGACAUGCUAGUCGGGGUCCAUGGCUAUUUGACCAAAUUUUCCUGCUCUUCAAACUAAACUUCAGCCCUCAGCAACAGAGAACUCUUGUAGUUUUGCCAAUCACACGCUGUUUCUCCCUUCCACGCCUUCUCUCCAGAAUGCCCACUUUUCCUUCCUCCUCCCAACUGAUUCUUGGCUCAGAAAUCACCUCUUUCUGGAAGCCUUUCUCCUCUCCACCCUGAACACCCACCACACAUGCUGGACUGGGUGCCCUUCCUGGAGUUCACUGCUAUCAUUAUACCUACCGCAUAUCAUCAUGUGUUAUGUGUGGUCUGUUUCCUCAACUAGACCAUGACCUCCUGGAGGGCAGGUAUUACUCUAAAUCCUCUUUGGUCUUCAGCAGAAUCCUAAUUUAAAAAUAAUAGUGAUAAUAAAACUAAUAAUAACAAUAGCAGCUAACACUUUCAGAGUGCUUACUCUGGGCCAGUGCUUUCUAAAUCUUUCUACAUGCAUUAUCUCAUUGCAUCCUCACCCUAAGAGAGAAAGUAUAUCAGUAUCUCCUAUGUUUGGUUUACAGAUGAGGAAAUGGAAGCACAGAGAAGUUAAGCCACC
rnacentral:lncRNA from 1 species